rnacentral:misc_RNA from 1 species
GGCAUAUCUCAGUAUUUCAUAAAGUGUCCAUCCAUGCCAAUAAUCUUGAUCGAUGGUAAGCAACUUCGUGAGAGCAUAGGAACCCGCCGCAAGAACAAUGGUCGCAUUUAUAAUCCGAUCAAUCAUAACCCUCUCCAUUUCCCCGUUCUCCGUUCCACCGCCAUCGCCAACAGAAGCAGAAGAAGAAAACCCCUGAAUUUCACCAGCGCCUCCCAACGAGAGCUCGCCGAAACCACCUACCGCACUCCCCAGCUCUCCCUCCACUCCAUCCCU